rnacentral:lncRNA from 1 species
UGGAAACUACAUCAUGCCGGCAUGGACUUGCUGUAACUUCAACACUUCACGGGAUGAUAAUCAAUCCAUUGUCAUGAUGGUCAGGUGAUGUGCAUGAGCCACGGGUCAGUUCAGACCAAGUUGUUGUGAAUAAGAGAGAUUGCAUGUAUACCAUAUUUGUGACUUUUCUGCGCGGGACGCGAGCUGCACGCGUAAAAAUCUCACAUCAUCUUGCAACAAGGUUGACGAGGCCAACGGACUCGCAACAAGUUGUUCCAACAAGUCUGAUAUCGCGGUAAUCGUUCCAUGUUUCGCGCACCAGUAUAGUAAACGUUAUGAUGGAUAUUAUAGUGUACUCUUAGACUUGCCCCAAGUCUCUCUCGAAUGGGUUUUGAUAGGGUAUAUCCAGUUAUUAUGAGAUCAGUUUUGAAUUUGAAACGGAGAACGAAAUUCAAAACUGAUCUCAUAAUAAACUGGAUAUACCCUAUCAAAACCCAUUCGAGAGAGACUUGGGGCAAGUCUAAUAGUUUACUGAAAAGUUAACUGGAUACCUCCAUACACUUAUAUACACACCCUACCCCUAACCUUAAACCUAACCCCAAUCCCUAACCUAACCCCUAACCUAACCCCUAACCUAUAUUGGUGCGCGAAACAUGAAACGAUAAUCGAUAUCGCUUGCACGCAACAAGUUGUUUAAAAAACUUGUUAAAACAACUUGAUGACAACAAGCUUGUAGCAGCCUGUACUAUAUAGUCUUGUUGGAACAACUUGUAGCAAGUCUGUUACUGUCACCAACCUUGUAACAACAAGGUGAUAACAACUUGUUCCAGACUUGUCAC